rnacentral:rRNA from 1 species
GACGAACGCUGGCGGCGUGCUUAACACAUGCAAGUCGAACGGAAAGGCCCCGCUUUUGUGGGGUGCUCGAGUGGCGAACGGGUGAGUAACACGUGAGUAACCUGCCCUUGACUUUGGGAUAACUUCAGGAAACUGGGGCUAAUACCGGAUAGGAGCUCCUGCUGCAUGGUGGGGGUUGGAAAGUUUCGGCGGUUGGGGAUGGACUCGCGGCUUAUCAGCUUGUUGGUGGGGUAGUGGCUUACCAAGGCUUUGACGGGUAGCCGGCCUGAGAGGGUGACCGGCCACAUUGGGACUGAGAUACGGCCCAGACUCCUACGGGAGGCAGCAGUGGGGAAUAUUGCACAAUGGGCGGAAGCCUGAUGCAGCAACGCCGCGUGCGGGAUGACGGCCUUCGGGUUGUAAACCGCUUUCGCCUGUGACGAAGCGUGAGUGACGGUAAUGGGUAAGGAAGCACCGGCUAACUACGUG